AAACAGAUAAAUUUAUAAAAAUACAAACAGAAUUUUCAAUUUUGAUAUCCAGAAUGCACCACCUAGAUUCAUUUUCCCAUUGAACAAGAUUCUAUUGAUGGAAGUCGAAGCAAUUUUACUGCCCCAAACGCAAAAAAAGAUGAAAAGAUAAUUAAUAUAGAAUAUGGU